UGGCUCUCGCAUCGAUGAAGAACGCAGCGAAAUGCGAUAAGUAAUGUGAAUUGCAGAAUUCAGUGAAUCAUCGAAUCUUUGAACGCACCUUGCGCUCCUUGGUAUUCCGAGGAGCAUGCCUGUUUGAGUGUCUUGAAGUCAUCAACCCCACCCGUUCUCACGGACGGGCCGGGUUGGAUUGUGGGGGCAUGCGGCCGCAGGGCCCGCUCCCCCGAAAAGCCUCGGUAGGGCCUGCGGGACAGACUCGGGGUGUUGUACGAUCCUCGCUUCGCUGUCUUCCCCGCUCCGCAAGGAGCCCCUCCCUCGGCCGGCCGUCGGGUCGGCCAACUCAACCUUUGCAAUCUGACCUCAAAUCAGGUAGGACUACCCGCUGA
rnacentral:misc_RNA from 1 species